rnacentral:misc_RNA from 1 species
AACCUAGCACACCUGCGGUGUGUACCUGCGGAGGGAUCAUUAUAGAGUUUUCUAAACUCCCAAACCCAUGUGAACUUACCAUUGUUGCCUCGGCAGAACCUACCCGGUACCUACCCUGGAACUAGCUACCCUGUAGCUACCCAGGAACGGGCUACCCUGUAACGUCCUGCCGGUGGACUUCUAAACUCUUGUUAUUUAUAGUAAUCUGAGCGUCUUAUUUUAAUAAGUCAAAACUUUCAG